rnacentral:rRNA from 1 species
GCAGCAGUGGGGAAUAUUGCACAAUGGGCGCAAGCCUGAUGCAGCCAUGCCGCGUGUGUGAAGAAGGCCUUCGGGUUGUAAAGCACUUUCAGACAGGAGGAAAGGUUAGUAGUUAAUACCUGCUAGCUGUGACGUUACUGACAGAAGAAGCACCGGCUAACUCCGUGCCAGCAGCCGCGGUAAUACGGAGGGUGCGAGCGUUAAUCGGAAUUACUGGGCGUAAAGCGUACGCAGGCGGUUUGUUAAGAGAGAUGUGAAAGCCCUGGGCUCACCCGGGGAACUGCAUUUCGAACUGGCACACGAGACUG